GAUGAACGCUGGCGGCGUGCCUAAUACAUGCAAGUCGAGCGAACGGACGAGAAGCUUGCUUUUCUGAUGUUAGCGGCGGACGGGUGAGUAACACGUGGAUAACCUACCUAUAAGACUGGGAUAACUUCGGGAAACCGGAGCUAAUACCGGAUAAUAUUUUGAACCGCAUGGUUCAAAAGUGAAAGACGGUCUUGCUGUCACUUAUAGAUGGAUCCGCGCUGCAUUAGCUAGUUGGUAAGGUAACGGCUUACCAAGGCAACGAUGCAUAGCCGACCUGAGAGGGUGAUCGGCCACCCUGGACCUGGACCACGCUCCCGGCUCCUACGGGAGGCAGCAGUAGGGAAUCUUCCGCAAUGGGCGAAAGCCUGACGGAGCAACGCCGCGUGAGUGAUGAAGGUCUUCGGAUCGUAAAACUCUGUUAUUAGGGAAGAACAUAUGUGUAAGUAACUGUGCACAUCUUGACGGUACCUAAUCAGAAAGCCACGGCUAACUACGUG
rnacentral:rRNA from 1 species